rnacentral:rRNA from 1 species
AUGUUACUGGCCAGCUCAACAAGCUCCAUGUUCAUGAACCAUAUCACGGGCAUGAUCAAGUUAAUACUGCUAGUGGACAAGGAUCAGGCAACAAAGCGCACCGUGUUUAGAGGUCCCUGUCAUGGAGGCUUGUAUCCACUCGUUCCUGUGUCUUCGGAUUCCUCCAAGCAUGCUCUUGCUACUAUUCAGCCUUCAUCCUCUACAUGGCAUCGUUGUCUAGGCCAUCCAUCUUUGUUUAUUAUUCAGAAAAUUCUUAGGAAGCAUAAACUUUUAUAUUCCCCAGAAAUAAAUCCUUACAUAUGUGAUCCAUGCCAACAGGCCAAGAGUCAUCAGCUACCCUACCCUGUAUCCACUAGUGUGUCUACAGUUCCUUUGGAACAAAUAUUUUCUGAUGUAUGGGGUCCAGCUCCUCUCUCUGCAAGCAAACAUGCAUACUAUGUAAGCUUCAUUGAUGAUUUU